GGGCGAGCGAGACACGAUGAUCCGGGAAGUCCACACCGACGCCGCGAGGCGCACGGAGACAAGACGGUCGCCUAGACACCCGGGGGAGUGAGUGGCGAGACCGGCUCGUUCGAGC
rnacentral:ncRNA from 1 species